AUUGAACGCUGGCGGCAGGCCUAACACAUGCAAGUCGAACGAGUGGCGGACGGGUGAGUAAUGCCUGGGAAACUGCCUGAUGGAGGGGGAUAACUACUGGAAACGGUAGCUAAUACCGCCUACCAUCGGAUGUGCCCAGAUGGGGUUAGCUAGUAGGUGGGGUAGAGGCUCACCUAGGCGACGAUCCCUAGCUGGUCUGAGAGGAUGACCGGCCACAAGGGAACUUAUACACGGUCCGGAGGCCUACGGGAGGAGGCAGUGGAGAAUAUUGGACAAUGGGUGCAAGCCGGAAGGAGCGAUGCCGCGUGUGUGAAGAAGGCCUUGAGGUUUUAAGGUGCUAUCAGCGGGGAGGCGUUACCCGCAGAAGAAGCACCGGCUAACUCCGUGCGAGCAGCCGCGGUAAUAC
rnacentral:rRNA from 1 species